ensembl:misc_RNA Metazoa_SRP Metazoan signal recognition particle RNA
GCUGGGCACGGUGGCUCAUGCCUGUAAUCCCAGCACUUUGGGAGGCCGAGGCAGGUGGAUCACCUGAGGUCAGGAGUUCCAGGCCAGCCUGACCAACAUGGAGAAACCCUGUCUCUA